rnacentral:lncRNA from 1 species
UGCAAUAUUGUUUGAAGUACAGAGCCCGAGACCCACGCGCUUGUUUGCCUGCAGGAUUCCCGCUGGCUCGGGGAGCGUCCAACCCGGCCCUGGCGAUGGCGCAACAUACUCUUACGUGUCUGAGCAACCGACCAUAACCGGAAGCAGCCUUUUCACAAUUCCGAUGUCCUGCAGUGGCGGCUUUUAUUCGAUUGCCAGUACAAGCAGCGCGGUCUUGGAGGACACCAUGCGGCCACAGGACACAGGCCAUGCUGAAGGAAUUGGGGAGGCGUCGAACCAACAGGACGGAAGCAAGGCUGACGAGGAGCCCCGUAAUAAGUGUCGAUUCUGCGAGGAGACUUUCAGAUGUGCGGAAGACGUUCGGAAACACGACAGCGAGAACAUCGCCAAUGGAAAACAUCUAUGCCGUGUAUGCGGCUUAUUGUUCAAAUUUCCUUCCGUGUUCCAAAAGCAUUACCGCAGGCACACGGGUGAGAAGCCUCAUACGUGCAAAGUGUGCCAACGUAAAUUUGCUGAGUCGUGGUACCUCGAAAGACAUCAGAAGUCGCAUGGAGGCGAAAAGCCGUUUUUGUGCGACCGUUGCGGAGCCUUGUACACGAGAAAGGAAAGUCUUACAAAGCACGUCAAUCAGCGACACCCAAGAGACCGUGAACGCGACAGCGGAGCUCCGAAAUAACUAACCCGAGAAGAAAAUGUGAAAGUGUCUUGACGACGGUGUCGUACACGUUUUUUGCCACCGCAGCACCUGAGCUUGGCUGAACACGUCAAAAAUGAUUACUAACCUCACGACAAACACAACCGGGCUAAUUUUACUCUUUUUGACAACAGCU